rnacentral:rRNA from 1 species
UACGGAGGGAGCUAGCGUUGUUUCGGAAUUACUGGGCGUAAAGCGCGCGUAGGCGGCUUUGUAAGUUUAGAGGUGAAAGCCCGGGGCUCAACCCCGGAAUUUGCCUUUUAAGACUGCAUCGCUUGAAUCCGGGAGAGGUGAGUGGAAUUCCGAGUGUAGAGGUGAAAUUCGUAGAUAUUCGGAAGAACACCGGUGACGAAGGCGGCAUCCUGGACCGAGAUUGACGCUGAGGCGCGAAAGCCAGGGGAGCAAACGGGG